rnacentral:rRNA from 1 species
AGAGUUUGAUCAUGGCUCAGGAUGAACGCUAGCUACAGGCUUAACACAUGCAAGUCGAGGGGCAGCAUGGUCUUAGCUUGCUAAGGCCGAUGGCGACCGGCGCACGGGUGAGUAACACGUAUCCAACCUGCCGUCUACUCUUGGACAGCCUUCUGAAAGGAAGAUUAAUACAAGAUGGCAUCAUGAGUCCGCAUGUUCACAUGAUUAAAGGUAUUCCGGUAGACGAUGGGGAUGCGUUCCAUUAGAUAGUAGGCGGGGUAACGGCCCACCUAGUCUUCGAUGGAUAGGGGUUCUGAGAGGAAGAUCCCCCACAUUGGAACUGAGACACGGUCCAA